ACUUACUUUGGUGACAAGUCCAUGCGCUAAACUGGAACAAUACAGAAAAGAUUGACAUGACCCAUGCACAGGAAUAACACACAAAUUACUGGAGUGUUUUCAUAUUUUG